rnacentral:rRNA from 1 species
UACGGGGGGGGCAAGCGUUGUUCGGAAUUACUGGGCGUAAAGGGCUCGUAGGUGGCCAACUAAGUCAGACGUGAAAUCCCUCGGCUUAACCGGGGAACUGCGUCUGAUACUGGAUGGCUUGAGUUCGGGAGAGGGAUGCGGAAUUCCAGGUGUAGCGGUGAAAUGCGUAGAUAUCGGAAGGAACACCAGUGGCGAAAGCGGCUUCCUGGUCCAGCACCGACGUUCAGGCACGAAAGCGUGGGGAGCAAACAGG